rnacentral:lncRNA from 1 species
AGGUACGUGUGUAGCGGUCGAUAGAGCUUCCGACCCAGGUUAUUUCGAUUUAGUUAUUAUCCUUGGUAUUUCUGUUGAUAUAUAGUUUAGUUGGUUUAUGUGGUUCAGUAUUUAUUUACAUUUGAAAAUGUGGAUUUCUGGAUUUUGUAAAAUAAAAGGUUUUCUACCCCUCGUGGUAGCGUUUUUAAAAGAAUAAAGGUUUCUGUGUAGGAAACGGUUUUCAAAAGAUUUUUGUGGAUUUCUGUUUAAACCUUGAAUGUAAAAACUGUAAUGUGAAUGGUGAAUGUAUGAAUGUAUAGUUAUCUUUAUAUUCAUCUGGUUGUGGUUGUAUCCUGGUUGUACUGUGUAUUUGAUCGACGCCGUGCAAAUACAGGAGAGACUCUGUCCGUGUGAACAGUGGAUUUCCUGUAUUUGUGGCGGAUCUGGCAUACUCUGGGGUCAGGUUUUCAAAAAAAAAAUUUCAGACGCUUUUCCGCUUUGUUUUAAAUUGAAAAGGGAUCCCGGGGCGUGACAUUG